UACAGAGGUCCCAAGCGUUGUUCGGAUUCACUGGGCGUAAAGGGUGCGUAGGUGGUGGGGUAAGUUUGAUGUGAAAGCUCCGGGCUUAACCCGGAAUGGCAUUGAAUACUAUCUCGCUUGAGGGUUGGAGGGGAGACUGGAAUACUUGGUGUAGCAGUGAAAUGCGUAGAUAUCAAGUGGAACACCAGUGGCGAAGGCGAGUCCCUGGACAAUACCUGACACUGGAGGCACGAAAGCUAGGGGAGCAAACAGG
rnacentral:rRNA from 1 species